rnacentral:rRNA from 1 species
CGGCCACACUGGGACUGAGACACGGCCCAGACUCCUACGGGAGGCAGCAGUGGGGAAUAUUGNGCAAUGGNCGAAAGNCUGAYSCAGCGACGCCKCGUGAGGGANGAAGGNCUUCGGNUUGUAAACCUCUUUCAGCAGGGAMGAAGCGAAAGUGACGGUACCUGCAGAAGAAGCACCGGCUAACUAUGUGCCAGCAGCCGCGGUAAUACAUAGGGUGCAAGCGUUGUCCGGAWUUAUUGGGCGUAAAGAGYUCGUAGG